rnacentral:lncRNA from 1 species
GCCAAUCGCCCUGGACCUCUGGGAGCGUCCCACCCGCCUCCCUCGAUCCGGGUUCGCCCCCAAGCCGGGGCCGGGAGCGGUCCCCGCCCCGCUGAAGAGCCUGUAGUUUUUGGGACCACUGCCCAGAGAGAACCCGCCGAGACUCUCUGCUUCCUGAGUUUCUUUUCUGGAGGUUUGGCUGGAGAGCAGCCCGGAGAACAUUCCCCUACUGCCUGACCAUGGGAAGUCAUAGGAGGAGCACCGAUGUGUGAGAAUUGAGACACAGUGCUGCCCACCAUGUCUCUCCACUUCUCAUUAUGGCUGUACAACCAGUUUCAGAAGGCUUCUGUGAGAUAACGAAAUGUUUCCUGGGAACCUUCCACCAAAGUCAUAUAUCAGGCGUUCGAGUCUAGACCAGUCACUGCCCCAGGGCAGUCCAGGUUUACAUUUACUCUCCCAUACUUUCUGCAUACUUCUCUAGUCAAGCUUGCCAUUCUCUUUGCCUAGGGGGACUCAGUUUCCCUGUAGGCUGAUGUCUGCUGAGUCAGUGGGGAUAGGGCAGUUUGACCCAUGAGAUUUACCUGCUCAGGGCCAGGACCUAACUGGUGAUUGUGAAAAAUCACUCAGCGUGAAUAGGUUUGUAGAAGGCCGCCACCAUCAUAGGGGCCACAGCUAGAAGCUAGAGUGUGUCCCAUUGGCAAGCCCGGCCCCUCAGCUUUCCUACAGAAUCUCAAGAAAGUGAGAACUUCAGAGAUUCCCUUGGGUGCAAAACAACAGCACAAGCCCAGAAGGAGUGGAGACCUCACAACACACGAGAUCCUGGACAUGAGGCAGACCCUGUAACCACAGCAGUUGUCUCUUUGGUCAAUAAAGAGCAACGGGACUUGACAUCCAGAGAGAAAGAAAUAUGAGGAGCCACACCCCACAAUUUCAUCUUGUAAAUGAGCUUAGGAAAGGAGAACAGGAGGGAAAGCCCCCGGGGCUGUCGGCCUGGGCUUCUGUCACUGCAGACAUCUGGCUUUUAAUGACAUGAUAUGGGAAGAAUCAUUUGGCACCAUCAUUGCUGUUAAAUGUCUUUCAAGCAUUAAUAAAACAUAAGAGACUCGCUUA